rnacentral:lncRNA from 1 species
CUUCUUCCAGAACAGACAGUUUGCUGAGAUUGCAUCCAGGAGUUUCUUCUGUUGCCUGAGAAACCUGGGCUCAACAGUAGCAGAAACUCUUAAAGGAAUGUCAGGUUUGUUUUUUUUUUACCAGCAGCAAAAGAGUGCAUAUAUAACGUGUUUAUGUUCCAAAAAGAAGCUGCUGUAGGAGCAGACUCUUCGUUCAAAGCUGUGGCACAGACGUGCUUGGCUCCGCAAGUGCUCCGUUAAAACCCACAUCGAGCUGUCAGUCAAAUUAAAAGCUACUGCAUGAACUCGCAAUGGGAAGGUGUGAGACCCCUGAGGACGCCUGCAGAGGAGGAGAAGGGCAAAGGACCCUGCUUCCCGAAUGGGCCCGGCUGCUAGGAGGGAGCACUGCAGCCGGAGUCGGCGCUGCGACCAGCAGCCGCUAGGUGGCAGGCAGUUCACGCUUCCAGCAGCCUCCGGUGCCGGUCCCGGCGGCCGCCUCCGCCGCCGGGGAGGAGGAGCUGGGAGCCGCGCCGUGUGGUGCAGAGUGAACGGUAUACGGUGUAAACCGUCUCUAACGUGACAAACCUGAUCUGCCUCUCAGAAGCCUUUGGAAAGAAAGCUGCGAGGGAUUUUUAGCUCACCUUGUGUUGACAACCGUGAUAAACGUCACAUGCGUUGAGUAAAUUUAAAUGCACGUUUGCAAUGGUCUAGUGUGGAGACAUACCAGAAAUCAUAAAAAGACCUGAAUGAACCUAUGGACCCAUUUAUCAGCCCCCAGAGCUGUGUGGCAACUCUUGAUAUGCUCCAGAUCUUCAUCUGCCGCAUUACUGGUGUCCAUGUUGGUGAGAACCCUGUAAUAGCAAUGUGCAAGUCUCAACAACAUCCCAGAUCAGCAGCAAACCUGCCAAAGCAGCAAGCCAGGUGCCAUCAUGCUUCUGUCAAAGAGAAGUUAGAAUAUCAC